CAAGUCGAACGAGAAAGUGGAGCAAUCCAUGAGUAAAGUGGCGUACGGGUGAGUAACACGUGGAUCAUCUACCUUCUAGUGGGGAAUACCGUUGGGAAACCGACGACAAUACCGCAUAAGCUCGAGAGAGGAAAGCAGCAAUGCGCUGGAAGAGGAGUCCGCGGUCGAUUAGCUAGUUGGUGAGGUAAUGGCUCACCAAGGCUGUGAUCGAUAGCCGGCCUGAGAGGGCACACGGCCACACUGGCACUGAAACACGGGCCAGACUCCUACGGGAGGCAGCAGUGGGGAAUCUUGCACAAUGGGGGAAACCCUGAUGCAGCGACGCCGCGUGAGCGAUGAAGCCCUUCGGGGUGUAAAGCUCUUUCGGCAGGGAAGAUUAUGACGGUACCUGCAGAAGCAGCUGCGGCUAACUACGUGCCAGCAGCCGCGGUAAUACGUAGGCAGCAAGCGUUGUUCGGAGUUACUGGGCGUAAAGGGUGCGUAGGCGGCUCUAUAAGUAUGGUGUGAAAUCUCCCGGCUUAACUGGGAGGGUGCGCUAUAGACUGUGGGGCUAGAGUGUGGGAGAGGAAAGUGGAAUUCCUGGUGUAGCGGUGAAAUGCGUAGAUAUCAGGAGGAACACCGGUGGUGUAAACGGCUUUCUGGACCAUAACUGACGCUGAGGCACGAAAGCGCGGGUAGCAAACAGGAUUAGAUACCCUGGUAGUCCACGCCCUAAACGAUGCAUAUUUGGUGUGGGUCAUUCAGUUGAUCCGUGCCGGANCUAACGCGUUAAAUAUGCCGCCUGGGGAGUACAGUCGCAAGGCUGAACUCAAAGGAAUUGACGGGGGCCCCC
rnacentral:rRNA from 1 species